UACGUAGGGUGCGAGCGUUAAUCGGAAUUACUGGGCGUAAAGCGUGCGCAGGCGGUUCGUUUAGUCUGAUGUGAAAGCCCCGGGCUCAACCUGGGAACUGCAUUUGAAACUGGCGGGCUUGAGUGUGGCAGAGGGGGGUGGAAUUCCGCGUGUAGCAGUGAAAUGCGUAGAGAUGCGGAGGAACACCGAUGGCGAAGGCAGCCCCCUGGGACAACACUGACGCUCAGGCACGAAAGCGUGGGGAGCAAACAGG
rnacentral:rRNA from 1 species